rnacentral:tRNA from 1 species
GCAUUGGUGGUUCAGUGAUAGAAUUCUCGCCCUCCAUGCAAGAGACCCGGGUUCGAUUCCCAGCCAGGGCA